rnacentral:lncRNA from 1 species
GCACCGUCACCAGAUAGGUUCACUAAUAAGUUCUGUCAAACAUUUAAGGCAGAAAUUAUGCCAAUUCUCUGAAAUAUCUUUUAGAGGAUAGAAGCAGAGGGACUACUUCUUAACUCAUUCUAUGAGGCCAGCAUUACCCUAAUACCAAAAAAACAAAAAAACGAAAAAACCCACCAAACAUUACCCCCUAUGAACAUAGAUGCAGAAAUACUCAGCAGAGCAUCAAUUUGAAUCCAAAAGUGUAUCUUUAAAAAUUAUAUAUGCCAACUAAGUGGAUUUAGCUCUAGUGUGCAAGCAAGGCUGGUUCAACGUGAAAAAAUCAAUUAAAAUAAUCCAUCACAUCAUCAGGUUAAAAGCAUAAUUACAUAAUCCUAGCAGUGAUGUAGAAAAUGCAUUUGACAAAUCUAACACUUAUAACAAAAACUCUCAGAAAACUAGAAAUAGAAGGAAACAGCCUCACCUUGAUAAAGAAUAUCUACAAAAAACCUAGAGCUAAUAUCAUAUGUGAUGGUGAGAAACAAAGUUUUCCCAUUGAAAUCAAGCAUAAGGCAAGGAUGUCCUCUCACCACUCCUUUUCACCUGAUGUUUUAGCUGAUGUAAUAAGACAAGAAAGGGAAAUAAAGUGUGUAUGGAUCAGGAAGGAAUAAAAAACUGUCUUUAUUUGCAAAUGAUGUGACCAUCUACAUAGAAAAUCUGACAAGACUGAGAAAAAAUACCCUGAUGGAACUAACAGGCGGUUAUAAUAAGGUUGCAGGAAACAGUUGAGACAAGGGCAAUAAAUGAAGUAUUCUCAGGUCUCUAGUCCCUGUCUUCAAUUAGAAAAACACAUUAUCCGUUUUAGGUAGGGGUAGUUACAAAGUUUCCCUUGAACAAAAUUAUACCUGGUCUUAAAAAAGGAAAAAAAUUGAAACCCACUUUAGAACAGCUUCCUCUGAAAUGUGAAGAAACUGAGGCAAAGAAAGGCAAGUGGCCACAUGGGGCCAUUCUGAGAGUUUGCCCCAGAGUCACAAUUGGAACCCUGCUCUCCCAACUGCCAGGCCAAGGUGUUUAGAUACAGACCUAAAAAGAUUUAAAAAAAAAAAUCCAGACCUUACUACCCACCCUCACCUGCUAGGGAGAAAAUGCUUAAACAGUAUUUGAAUUUAUCUGGUGGAGGCCCAGAAAUAAAAAGAAGAAAAGGAGGAUAGCAGUUAAUUGAUUUACCCCAACACCCAACUCUACUUGAGUCUUCACAAAACCUUCUUUUUCCUAAGACCUGAUAUGCACAGGGUUCCUGAAGGGCAGGACCCUUGUCUAUUUCUGUGUCAUUAUCUCUUUCCCCUAGCAAUUCUGGAUACUCUUUUGGAGCAUUGGGGUCUGGUUUCUAAAGCAUUACUGUAUCUCUAUUCCCUUGUUCUAUACCCUCCAUCCUAUUGUUUCAGUUUCUUCCUAUCUCCUGAGCUUGGUAAAAUGUAGUUCACACUCCCCACCAGCCAUAUUAAUUUCCUAAAGACUUCAGGAAUGAUAUUAUGAUUCCUGCUUAUCACUUCCCAACCUCCUACAAUCUAGUCCAGAUCACAAGAAGAUUGUUGAUUGCUCUAUAAUGCAAAUGUCCUUGUGUUUAAAGUUGUUCCAGAAUUCUCUUAGACUGUCCUCAAUUCUUUUCAUUCUUUUUUCUUUAUUCUGUUCCAUGUCAGUGAUUUCCACCAGUCCUUCUUCCACCUCGCUUUUUUUGUUGUUCUGCCUUCUGUAUUAUGCUAUUGGUUCCUUCUGGUGAAUUUUUAAUUUUGGUUAUUGUGUUCUUCAUCUUCUCUGCCUUUUAAAGGGCAGAACGAAGUGCCAAUUUCCUGUUCAUACUAUUCAGUUGUCAAAAAGUUUAGUAAAAUCUAACUUAUGUUCCUGAAACUGUUCCUGCAUGCUUUGUAAUCUCAUUAAGCAUAAAACAAGGAGGUGGCCUUACCUUUUUAUGUACUGCCUAUAGAUAAGGAGGCUGUUCUUGGGCCCAGCCCUAUCUUUCCUGCCUCAAUAUGAAUUGAUUAAAAAAAAGUUAAUUUUUUUUAAUUGUCUGAUUUGGUUUACAGAAUAUUGAGGAGACAGUUGUAUGCCACCCAGUUAAAUAUUUCUAUAUAUUAAAAUAUAUGGUAUCAAAAAAAAUCUUCUCUGCCUUUUUUAAAGGUUUUUUCUAAUUUGUUGAUAUUUGCUUCUAGUUUGUUGCCAAGAUCUUGGAUCAUCCUUACGAGCAUUACUCUGAAGUCUUUUUCAGGUAGGUUUCUUAUCUCCACUUCACUUAGCUAUUCUUCUUGAGUUUUGUCUUUUUCCUUCAUCUUGCUCAUCUUUCUCUGACUUUUCAUUUUGUAUAGCUUUUUGUGUGGUCUCAUUUUUUGCAGGCUGUAAGGGUUGUAGCCUCUCUUCUUCUAAUGUCUGUCUGCUUGUGAGUGAAGUUAACACAGGGGCUUGUGGUGGGCUUCCUGAUGGAAGGGACUGGUGCCUGCCCACUGGUAGGUGGAGCUGAGUCUUGUCCCUCUGGUGGGUGGGGCUUUGUUUCUGGGUGUGAUUUGAGGCAGCUGUGUACCUGGGAGGACCUUAGGCAGCCUGUUUGCUGAUAUGUGGAGCUUUGUUCCCACCCUGUUUGUUGCUUUGCCUGGGGCUUCUCAACCCUAAUGGGUGGGGCCAGAUUUUUCCAAAACGGCAACCUCCAGGGGAGCUCACAUUGAUGAUUAUUCCUGGGACCUCUGUGUCCAUUGUCCUGUCCCCUCAGUGAGCCACAGCCACCCCCUGCUCUCCCUGGAGACCCUCUAAGACCCACAGGUAGGCCUGAUCCAGAUUCUUAUGGAGUCCCCGCUUUGCCCUGGAACCCAGUGCACGAGAAACCCUUUGUGUGCCCUCCAGUGGUGGAAUCUGUUCCCUCCAGUCCUGUGGAGCUCCUGUGCUCAAGCCUCACUGGCUUUCAACGCCAAAUGCUUCAGGGGCUCCUCCUCCCAGUGCCAGACCCCCAGGCGUGGGAACCUGAUGUGGAGCCCCAAACUCUCACUCAUGUGGGAGAGCCUCUGCCAUAUAGUUAUUUUCCAGUCUGUGGGUCACCCACCCAAUGGUUAUGGGAUUGCUUAUAUCAUGAAAGCACCCCUCCUACCUUCUUGAUGUGACAACUUUGUCUUUGGGUAAAGGAUAUCUUUUUUUGGUAGCUUCCAGCGUGUUUUGGCUAUUCAAAAGUUAGUUGUAAUUUUGGCUUUUUUUGUGAGAGGAGGUGAGCCCGAGUCGUUCUAUGCCAUAGUCUUGUCUCUGUCAAGUAAGUGGUGCUGGGAAAACUGGACAGCGGUACCCUGUGCCCUCCUUCCUUCCUGGCCCAGACAGACACACUUUGGCCUGGAGUUAAAUUUUCUAAAGUCCUUGAAUUUUCCAGAAGGGGUAAAACUUAUAUUACAUUUAAUAUAGCGGUACUUUUAUUAUUUAUUCUCUAGAGUAACAAUUAGAAGAUUAGAAAAAUAAUGUAUAACUAACCGGCUGAAAGAUGAGCUAAUGGAUUUUUAAAAAAUACUUCAUUAAUCUAAAAGAUGGCAAGAAUGGAAAGAAAAAUAACAUGAAACAGGUGAAACAAUGGAAAACGUGUAGUAGGGUGAUAAGCCUAAAGUUGGAGUUCCUGUUGUGGCUCAGCAGGUUAAGGUUCUGACAUUAUCUCUGUGAGGAUGCAGGUUUGAUCCUUGGCUUCACUCAGUAGGUUAAGGAUCUGGCAUUGCCACAAAGCUGUGGCAUAGGUCACAGAUGCGGCUCGGAUCUGGUGUUGUGGGUAGACUGCAGCAGCUCCGAUUUAAUCUCUAGCCUGGGAACUUCUAUAUGCUGUGGGUGCGGCCAUAAAAAAAACCAUGUCAAUCACUACCUAAAAUGUACCCAAAAUUAGUGUAAUUAAAAGACAGAAUUAUCAGAACGGAUUUUUAAAACUAUACACUGCUUACAAGGAAAGCCUCUUAUUAAAUAUAACAACAUAGAAAUAUUGAAAAUUUCCUUUCCAGCUCUUUCAAGUUGAAAGUAGAUGUGGCUUGCAAACACUAAAAUAGAAAAGAAAAGCUGCUCUAACUGUACUAAUAAAAAACAAAGCAAACUUUAAAGAUAAUAGUAUUACUAGAGAUUAAAAAAGACAUUAUAUAAUGCUAAAAGAUCAAUUCAUUGGGAAGUUUUAAUAAUCCUAAACCAUAUAUACACAUAUGGUUUGUCUCAAGUCAUAAUAAUGUGACUUCAAAAUGUAUAAAACAAAAAAUUGACAAAGCUGAACAAAUAGAAACAUCCGCAGUCACGGUGGGACAAUUAAAUACAUCUCUGUUUUUAGGGGUGCCUGAUAGAACAGGCAGACAAAAAUAUCUGUACCUUUAUUGGACACCUCUUGUACCCUGUCUUCCAUCUCUUGGCCCAUAUUUUUAUUGCAGUUAUUGCCAUAUCAGUCAGCUCUACACAGGUGUAACUUGACAACUCCUUGUCACAACUGCAUCAUGCAUGUCUUUGUUUCUUCCCUGGAGUUUCACUGCUACCUAUACAUGGAACCCUUACAAGAAUUUGCUCAAUCAUUUUGUUACAUGCCAAGUGAAUUAAUGCCACUCAGGGCAGCCCUCAACCAAUAAAGACAGGAGCCAGUCGAUAAUUAUUCUCCUGUAUCUCAAGUGCACAAUUCUUUUUCAAAAAUUUUUUUUAUUAUAGUUGGUUUACAAUGUUGUGUCAAUUUCUGCUGUACAGCAAAGUGACCCAGUCUCUCUCUCUCACACACACCACCCCCCGACACACCCACAUACACCCACACCCUUUCUUAUUUUAUCUUCCAUCAUGGUUUAUCUCAAGAGACAGGAUAUAGUUCCCUGUGCUAUACAGUAGGACUUCAUUGCUUAUCAAUUCUAAAUAUGAUAGUUUGCAUAUAUUAACCCCAAACUCCCAGUCCAUCCCCGACCCCCCCCCCCCGCAACCACAGUUCUGUUCUCUAUGUCUGUGAGUCUGUUUCUGUUUUGUAGGUCAGUUAAUUUGUGCCAUACUUUAGAUUCCACAUAUAAGUGACAUCACAUGGUAUUUGUCUUUCUCUUUCUGACUUACUUCACUUAGUAUGAGAAUUUCUAGUUGCAUUCAUGUUGCUGCAAAUGGCAUUAUUUUAUUAUUUUUUAUGGAUGAUUAGUAUUCCAUUGUGUAUAUGUACCACAUCUUCUUAAUCCAUUCAUCUGUUGAUGGACGUUUAGGUUGUUUCCAUGUCUGACUAUUGUGAAGUACUGUUCUGAACCUGCAGGUGCAUGUAUCUUUUUGAAUUACAGUUUUGUCUGGAUAUAUAUACCAAGGCAUGGGAUUGCUGGAUUAAAUGGUAUUUCUAUAUUUAGUUUUCUGAGGAACCUCCAUACUGUUCUUCAUGGUGGUUGUACCAAUUAACAUUCCCAUCAAUAGUGUAGGAUGAUUCCCUUUUCUCCACACCCUCUCCAGCAUUUGUUAUUUGUAGACUUAUUAAUGAUGGCCAUUCUGACCAGUUGUGCGGUUGUUCCUCAUUAUAGUUUUGAUUUGCAUUUCUGUAAUAAUUAAUGAUGGCCAUUCUGACCAGUGUGCGGUUGUUCCUCAUUAUAGUUUUGAUUUGCAUUUCUGUAAUAAUUAAUGAUGUUGAGCAUUUUUUUCUUUUUCUCUUCUUUUCUUUCCUUUCUUUUUUUUUUUUUUUUUUUUUUUUUUUGCUUUUUAAGGCUGCACCGGCAGCAUAUUGAAGUUCCCAGGCUAGGGGUUGAAUCAGGGCUGCAGCUUCUGGCCUACAUCACAGCCACAGCAAUGCUGGAUUCCCUGACCCACUGAGCAAGGCCAGGGAUUGAACCUGCAUCUUCAUGGGUGCUAGUUGGAUUCAUUUCUGCUGUGCAACAACAGGAACUCCAAUGUUGAGCCUUUUUUCAUGUGCCUACUGGCCAGCCAUGUGUCUUUGGAGAAAUGUUUAUUUAAGUCUUCUGUCCAUUUUUUUUUUUACUGGAUUGUUUGUUUGUUUAUUGUUGAGUUGUUUGGGUUGUUUGUAUAUUUUGGAGGUUAAACCCUUGUUGGUUGCAUCAUUUGCAACUAUUUUCUCCCAUUCCAUAGGUUUUUUUUUUUUUUAUGGUUUCCUUUGCUGUGCAAAACUUGUAAGUUUGAUUAGGUGCCAUUUGUUUAUUUGUGUUUUUAUUUCUAUUUUAAGUGCACAGUUCUAAGAUAUAUCUUAAACAGAUUACUAGAGGGUUUCCAGUGAAACUGAGCAGCCUGUGCUCAUAGAAGUGGAUAGUUGAAUAAUAUUCCAUUGCAUUGUCAUUUAUUCUUUCUUUCCCUUUUCAUUUCUCCCAGCUCCCAAUUCCUGUUCUUCGGAAUUACUUUCCAAAAUAAACUAUCUGCACACAAACUCUGUUUCAGACUCUGCUUUUGAGACUAAUACACUAAGAAUAUAGAAUACUUGUACAAUAUAACCAGCAACCUUGACCUGACUGACAUGUAUAAAACAUUGCACCCAAACAAUGUAAAAUCUAUGAUCUUUUCAAGUGUAUAUGGAACAUUCAUCAGCAUUAAGUAUAUGCUAAGUGAAGGACAAGUUGUAAAAUUCAAAAGUAUCAAAUUCAUAGAGUAUUUAUUGCUCUGACCACGGUGGAAUUCAGUUAGAAAUAAUAAUAAAAAAGGAUAACUGAAAAUAACCGAUGUGUUGAAAAUAAACAGUAAAUAAUCUUUGGGUCAAAAA